GAUCCCUGUGCAAAAACUGAAGUGCCUAGCUAUCGAGAAAGUAAAGAAGCCACACGCUGAGAGAUCAUCUCUAUCUGGUCAUCAGCUAAUCUGAUCUCUGAGGGAUGUGCUCUGCUGUCUGGCUGCUGGACUGGAGUGUGCCUCCUAGUAGACUCUGAUGGGCCAGCCUCGGGAUCUGAAAUGAACUGAAUGUCUGGAGAUGCUGCCCU
rnacentral:lncRNA from 1 species